CCAAUAGCGUAUAUUAAAGUUGUUGCAGUUAAAAAGCUCGUAGUUGAAUUUCGGGGCCAGUAGGUUGGUCGUGCCACUGGUAUGCACUGGUCUCACUGGUCCCUCCUUCUUGUAGAACCGUGAUGGCAUUAAUUUGUUGUUGCGGGGAAACAGGACUGUUACUUUGAAAAAAUUAGAGUGCUUAAAGCAGGCUCGCGCUUGAAUACAUUAUCAUGGAAUAACGAAAUAGGACGAUCGAACCUAUUUUGUUGGUUUCUAGGAUCGACGUAAUGAUUAAUAGGGAUAGUUGGGGGCAUUAGUAUUCAAUUGUCAGAGGUGAAAUUCUUGGAUUUAUUGAAGACUAACUACUGCGAAAGCAUUUGCCAAGGAUGUUUUCAUUAAUCAAGAACGAAAGUUAGGGGAUCGAAGACGAUCAGAUACCGUCGUAGUCUUAACCAUAAACUAUGCCGACUAGGGAUCGGAUGAAGUUAAUUUUUUAAUGACUCAUUCGGCGCCUUACG
rnacentral:rRNA from 1 species